AAUAAAUUUGUUAGUCUCUAAGGUGCCACAAGUACUCCUUUUCUUUUUGCGAAUACAGACUAACACGGCUGCUACUCUGAAACAUGUGAGAUCAGGUGCAAAGGUACUAGCUGGUCCCUGGAGAGCAAGGGGUUAACCCCAGCUCAGCUACCCCCUCCCCUUGCACAGGUGCUUAGGAGCAAGGUGACAAGAGGGUUGCUCGGGAAGGGAGUGCUGCAGAGCCUCCCUUAGAGGUCAGGUCUGAAUGCUGCGCUGCGAAGAGGUGAACAUUUUUGUUACAUUCUCCCCAAGGCAGAGACAUUGCUGGCUGCCUCUGAAUUUCUCCAGUUGCCUCCCACGUUUCAUGGGGCAGAAAACUGUAACAAACUUCAUUUUACAGAAAAGUAGCAAUUUUCUGUAUUGCUUUUGCAUCUUUAUGCCUGGCUUCCCUCUUGAAUUUUAAUAUGAAAGGUGAGGCAGGGGAGUUAAGUUUGGUGUGGGAACCUUGCAUGAGAAUUUCUUUUGGGGUCACUGUCAGAGCCUCUGACAUGGGAAGGAGAGGCUGAGCGUGAUCUUGUUGGAGAGCAGGAGCUGCUGGGGCAUGAAGCGGGGUUUUAAGGUGCUCCAGGAAUGAUUAAAGGGCUUAAAGCGCCAAACAUACUGGUAAGACCUGAAGCUAAACUUUCUGCCCCAGCACAGCUUACAGAGAGGAAAGGGGCUCAUGCUAACUCAUGGGAUCUGGCCCACAGAUGAGAAACCCACUGGAGACAGGGAGUGGAGCCUGAUGAAAAGGACAAGAGCCAUCAAGCAACAAGCUUGCGAAUCACCGGAGGCCAGGAUCUGGUCUAUCCCAAAGUAUAACUUUUGUGAACACUUUCUAGACAUUAGUAUAUGUGCACCUGAGCCACUAGGCAGCUCACGGCGGUGGAGUUGCCAGGAGCCCCUGAAGAGGGGGGU